CAGAUGAAAACAAUCCAGCGCGCCUUCAUUUUCAUUCUCUAGAAUCAUCCUUCUCUCUCCUGCACCUUUUCCACUUUCCUAUUCGACUGAAAAAUAACAGGCCUAAUCUAUCCAAUCAGAGAUAUUGGGGGAAUCAUCGGAGACUUUUUAGCAAAAUUGGAGAUCCCGGCAAUCGGAGAUUUUGUAAGACACUACAACCAUAUUCCCUCUUUUCUAAUUCACCAUACGAGCCUGAGCGCCGUUGUUGGUGUGCAAGGCUUGGUGAGAGGCGCUGCAGCAGCUGAGGCAGUUGAUGAUGUACAUGCGGUGGAGGAAGCGGUUCAAUCACAGCCGCGGAUGAGUCAAGUCCGAAUACGAACAAGGCGUUCGACGCGUUUCUGAGGGGUGCGGCUUCUAGGUGACACCAAGCUCAUAUACUGGGGAGGGGUUUCAAGGAGAAGGUCAUCGCUUUGUAUCAGAAAGCUGUGAAAUUGGGAGAUCAUGUUGGGCAGUGGAAUUUGAGAAUUUUCUAUUUGCAAGGGUAUGGUGGAGAGUUUGGUUAAUCACUCUGCUUUGAGGAUGUCUCUGUGAAGGUAAACACUAUUAUUUGUGAGCAUGGCUAUGUAUAGUACUAUCCAAGGUACCAAAGAUAAAUUAUAUUCAAAACAUAUGAAUAUUCUUAUAUUUGGAUAUGCUUUUUUUCUUGUGUUGUGGUGAUGGUAUUGAAAGUUGAGCUCUCAUAUCAUUACCUUCGAGCAUGAGGGAAACUGGAGUAAGGCCCUUGAGUAUUGUGGAUUUUGGUUCCAGAAGUUGUUCAGUGGAAGGGACUCAAUCAACAUAUCGUUUAUCCACACCCACAUUGGAAAAUGCAAUGAGGCAGAGGAAGCCAUAUAAAGGUUUGAUUGGGUCAUUGCAACAAACUCGUUGUAUGCAUGUUCUAGAUUUGUAUUGCCAAGGAUUUGUAUGCAAUGGACAUGUUUGACAUUCUGUUGUUUGAGGGCACUUAAAGAGGGAGAUUACAAUGAAUUCCAUGGAAAGCUGAAAUAUUCAAAGCAGGAGCUUCGUGAUUUGUGUCAAGCGCUGUGUUCAUAUGUGUCAGGAGCUUCGCAAUUUGUUUCUAGCGCUGUGUGUUCAUGUGUCAGGAGCUUCGCAAUCUAUUUCUAGCGUUGUGUGAUCGUAUGUGUCGAGCUUUGCAAUCUGUUUCAAAAAUGUCACUUGUUGCAAGUUCUAGAUAAAGAUUACAUGAUGCCGUUGGUGUAUAAUACUAUAAUCGAUACGACCAUUCAACUAACUUUAAGUACAAGUGCAGUGUUGCUUUCAUACUUUUGUUGGUACUUCUAUAUGAUAAUACAUUGUAUUAUAAUUUACCUAAUUUAUAGUUCAUUAUUAAUAACAAUUCGUAUUUAGUUUAUAGA